GUAUUUUUGUAUGUGGAUAUCGUUUAGCACCAAGGACAGGUAUGUUUCCCUUUGUGUUGAUGGUGUUCAGCACCAAGGACAGGCGUGUUUGCCA
rnacentral:pre_miRNA from 1 species